UCAUUCCUACGGGGGGCAGCAGUAGGGAAUCUUCCACAAUGGACGAAAGUCUGAUGGAGCAACGCCGCGUGAGUGAAGAAGGGUUUCGGCUCGUAAAGCUCUGUUGGUAGUGAAGAAAGAUAGAGGUAGUAACUGGCCUUUAUUUGACGGUAAUUACUUAGAAAGUCACGGCUAACUACGUGCCAGCAGCCGCGGUAAUACGUAUGGUGCCAGCGUUAUCCGGAUUUACUGGGUGUAAAGGGAGCGCAGGCUGCGCGUUAAGCCUGGUGUGAAAGCCCGCGGCCCAACCGCGGGAC
rnacentral:rRNA from 1 species